rnacentral:tRNA from 5 species
GCGAGGGUUGCCCAGCCAGGUCAAAGGCGCUAGGUUGAGGGCCUAGUUUCGUAGGAAUUCGUGGGUUCGAAUCCCAUCCCUCGCACCA